rnacentral:rRNA from 1 species
UACGUAGGGGGCUAGCGUUGUCCGGAAUCAUUGGGCGUAAAGCGCGUGUAGGCGGUCCGGUAAGUCCGCUGUGAAAGUCGGGGGCUCAACCCUCGGAUGCCGGUGGAUACUGUCGGGCUUGAGUACGGAAGAGGCGAGUGGAAUUCCUGGUGUAGCGGUGAAAUGCGUAGAUAUCUGGAGGAACACCCGUGGUGCAGACGGCUUGCUGGACCGUGACUGACGCUGAGGCACGAAAGCGUGGGGAGCGAACGGG